ACCAAAAUUUUGUAUAGUAUAAAACCUAAAAAUGAACCAACUGCCUUAAAUCUCUCAUCCCACUCAGUUCACAACUUCCCAUCUUCUCCACCAGUGAGUUCUGCGCCAUUGCCGAACGGUUGCUGCUGCUUGUUGCCGGCUGAUUGUGCCAUCUUCUUAACCAGUGAGUUCUGCGCCAUUGCCGAACGGUUGCUACUACUUGUGCCAUUGCCGGCUUUGCCGACACCAGUGAGUUCUGCGCCCUCUUGAAUUUUAGCCUCUUCUACACACUAAUCCUCUAAUAAUUAGAUUAUUGCUGAGGACUAAUGAACUGAUUUUUCUGAACUGGAAACGAAAAAGUGAAGGCUAUACACUCGAGAAAGAAAAUUUGGAAAAAAAUGAAUUCACCUUCAACAAGCAGUGCAAGGUACAUGAACAUGAUUGAGACUGAUUUUAAUCGUGCAUUGAGGAAUGAUGGUGAUGGUCAGAAACAAACCCACUCCUUGUCGGUGUUCAGUAAUAAAGGGAAGCCAUUAGGAAAGAUGAAUGUAGAAGAUUUGACCUUUGAUGAAUGGAAAUUGGCGUAAGUUUAUAUUUUGAAAAAUUGUGAUGAGGCAAGAUUUUUUAUAGAGUAAGUAUUUGGGCUCUUAUUUUGUGUUCGUGCAUUUAUUUACAAUGAAAAAUGAUUCUAAACUACUCUUAAACUUCAUAGUGAAUAUGAGAAUGAGAAUGGUGAUUCAAGGAUCGACUUGUGCGAUUGGUUCAAAAAUAAAGUAAGCACAAUUAGUACAUUUACACUUUUGUCUUAAAAUUAAUUUUAUGUUUGAAUUUUCUUAUUGUUUUUUAUUCUCGAUUCAUUUUUAGAUAACCAAACUUUGGAACGAAGGAGACAAAAUGGUAAAUGAGGAGUUUUUGUGCUUGGCCAGAGGGCCAUUGAAGUGUGUAAUGGCCUAUGAAGGAUAUGUUACUAAUGGAUUUAGGUUUCAUACUAAAAAGCGACAAAGAAAGAGGAAAACACAAAAUAGUGGUGUCAUGGUCAAAGGAGAUGCAGACAGUGGCCAAAGAGAUUUUUAUGGCUUAUUAGAGAAGGUGAUUGUGUUGGAAUAUGAUUCCUUAAAAAUAGAACAAGUCCUAGAGUUGUUAUGUUUAAGUGCAAGUGGUUUGAUGUCUAUGAUGAUUGAAAAGGAAUUCAAAAGGAUAAGUUUGGAGCUACUCUUGUUAAUAUUAGUCGUAAAUUAAAAACAAAUGAGCCAUUUGCAUUAGUAUCUCAAAUUGAACAAGUUUUUUAUGUCCCUACUCAUAAUGAACCCCAAUGGAGGAUUGUAAUUAAAACUAAACCUCGAAACUACUUUGAUUUCCCUAAUGAUGAAGAUGAUAAUGAUGAUAAGUCAUCAUGGAUCAAGUAGAAACUGAAGAAGUCAAUGCUGUACAUGAGGGUGAACAUAUUGAUGAUGACAAUUAUCCAGUUAGGAAUAAUAUGGCACCAAACUAUGUUGAUAAUGAACCUAUAGAAUUCAAUGAUGGUAAUGUUGAUGUUGAUGAAGAAAUUGAUGAUGAAUCAAGUGGUAAUGAUGAAGAGUUCUCAGAUCGUGAAUCAAGCAUAUGUUCUUUAGAUAGAGAACUUGAAAAUGUUAACUUGAGUAGUGAUAGUGAGUCUUCUAUUAGCGAUGUCUAAAAGAAAUUUUCAAUAAUUUAAUAUUUUUAUUGGUAAGAAAUUUGUUCCUUUGAAUUGAACUUUCCAUUGUUGAACAAGGAACCUUUCAAUAUCUAUUAUUACUAAGGGAAUGAACUGCAGAAUUCAAGAAAGUCGGUUGUCUUUGACACAAGCCGACACAAUUGUAACUAAUACUCAGGGUACUCAAUUGAGUUAUCGUCAAAACCGAAGAUUACAACAAGCUAAUAGAGCAGCAGCUACAACAGAUGAGACACAUUUAUACUAUUAUUGUCAUCUCUUCAAUUUGUUAGGUAGCAUAUUUGGACACCAUGUAGUGGAUUUAUGGUAGUGUUACUUGAGGGCUUAAAAUUAGGUGAGAUAAUCUAUCAUUAAGACAGUAAGCAAAACUCCCACCUGAAAAAGAUGAAGGAAGGUGUUUUCUGCAUGGACAUUUUGGAAAAUACUUGGGGUGUUUAAAUACUUACAGAAUUAUAUAAUGAAAGCUUCAUAUCAAUUAUCAAUGUUUGAAUUACUGCAUUUGCAUGACCUAUUGAUACUUCCUCUGUUUUAUUUUUAGUUUAUCACAUUUGCGUAGACCUAGUAGGGGUUCAAAAUCACGUCGCUGGAGGGAGAAACACCAACACAAAAACCAUUUGCAACAAUUUCAGACGAUAUGCGACGUGUUGGUGAAAGGGCUACUGAAUUUAUUUGUGAUUGUAGUAGAUGGGUAAGAGAAUAUUGCACUCUUAAAACUAGGUAAGCUUCAUAAACAAAAUCAUAUUUUAAGGGCUUGUUCGACAUCAUUUAUGCUAUUCAUUUAAAACUAUUAUUGAUGUAUGAUUCACAUUAUCACUUCAUCUCUGAUCACGCAUAUGCAUCAAUGUAUGACUUCCUCAACUUCUGUCAUCUGCAUUCUGUGCUGAGUUGCUGUUCUGAUUUGCUAGUGUUGCUCUAAUUAUUACAGACACACACAUUGAUAUCACUACUAAACUGAUCAGCAGUCUACUGUCGCAGUUCUACAUCUGAACACAGCCUGUUGGCUGUUGCUGCUAAUGAUAUCACAACUAAGUCAUAUCAUCAUUGAACACUCACAAAGAUUCAUUUGAUCAUAUUCUUCUUAGAUAGAAGUGACCUUAACUUAAUUAAGGGCCAAAAAUUAUGUUACAUUAUGCUAAAACAUCAAACUAAGAAUAUAUUACUAUGGAUCAAGAGGGUUGCCAAAAGGAGAGCGAACAGAAGAUUCUCCCCUUCCAACCUUGUAGCAUUCAAUGUCUAUCUUUAUCUACAAGAAAAUCUUCUUGGUAGUUAGCCUUUAUCAUAACCUUAGCUUGCCUCACGAAUUCCCGGUCUUAAGGCGGCUGCCUUAAUCCAGCCCGUGCUGAACGCACCUGCCACUGCUUGUAUGUUUCAGGCCUAUGUAUUCUCUCCGAACCCUCACACGCUACCACAUUUAUAAGCUCUUUUGCAUAAACCCCCAUACACACUGCCACUGUUUGCUUGCACAUGCUAUUGUUCUACACACAGAUGCUGCUUCACUACUGUACUAAAACAACUACUGUUCUGAAUAUUCCUCCCUACCCCUAAAUUAUCCAUACCCUUAGCAUAAGCAUUAUAGACUCCUAAUGUAAUGAAGCUUCAUAUAUUGUUGUUGCCAGUAUAGUGAGUUUAUCCCAUAAAACUAUUCUAUGUUGUGGUCUUCAAUAUACAAAAAAAUUAUUUUGAUUAGUUCAACAUUUUUGCUAGGAACUGGGUUGGCAUGGAUCGAGAAUGCAAGGAAAGGUUGUAUUCUAAGAUUCUGGGUGAAUGGGAUUUACCAAAAUUUGUUGAUGGAGUCAAUGUGAAAGUAGCAUUGAGUUGUCAAUGUGCAGCUUUAGAUUGAGGUUGGCGAUAACAUUUGAAGGAGAAAUGUUUUAUCGGAUAUUCAAUUGCUGCUGCAAAAGCAAACAAACCUCCUGAGAUAGAUGUUAAUCAGUGGAAUUGGGUAAUUGAUCACUAUUGGAAUGAUCCUAAAACCAAGAGCAUAAGUGAAAAAAACAAAAAUGCUAAAUUGAAGCAAACAAUCAAGCAUUCAAAUGGAGCAAAAUCUACUGCAAGACUUUUAGAUAAAAUGGAAAAUGAACCUCCACAUAUACCGCAAGAUUCACAACAAGAUAAUGCAGAAGUUUUAGAACAAGAACCUUCGACACAAGCCGAUAAAGAACCACUAUACGUGAGACUAUAUGAUAAGUCCCAUAGGCAUGCCGUUACCGGAUUAGACCCAGAUGCAACUGCCAAUCUCCAAGCACUUAGGGAUUUGCAUGAGAAAGAAAUUGAGGAAAAAGGUGCUGAUAACCUCACACCUCAAGAAGCGUAUGCAAGGGUCUUUAAGAAUUGUAGUGGUUAUACAAAAGGCCUUGGUUACGGCCAAAAAUGGAAAAAACAACAGCUCCCGAUUCUGAGGUUAGGGAAGAAUUUCAACAAAUGGAGCAAGCAUUUGCAGUGAAAGAGUUUGCUCUCCGACUUGAAAUUGAAAGGUUGAAACAAGAAAUGACCGAAAAAGAAAACAAGAGGGUCGAAAGAGAGAACCAGUUAAAACAAGAGUUGAUGGCCGAGAUAGCAAGGUGAUGCGUGAUUCAACCUAAACUGGUAUGUAAAUAUGGCUUAUAACCCACAUUUAUUGUUUUGAUUUACUUGAAGUGAAGUGUUUAUGAACGAUAUGAACAACGCGAUACACUUAGUUGCAUCCGUGAAAGUCACAUUUCCUAUCUCUUUAAUCCUUGUGAGGAUAUUGGUUUGAUUAGUCUCUUUAUCUCUUGGAGCAAUAAUAUAUUAGAUUAGAGCUUCGUGUAUAUGGUUGGUUUUUUAAGUGUUUUUAAUUGCUAUCUCAUUACAAGAUGAUUGUUUUUAUCGAAACCUAGUUUCGUGGCUGCUAUUGCUGGUAUUGGUGGGAUGUUUUCCGAGGGUCUGUGCUGUUGCUGAUUGGGGUUUUGCUUUAUGUUCUGUCUGCUGCAUUGUGUUCUGAUCUGUGGUGGUUGUGCGUGGUCUGUGGUGGUGUUGCCUGCAUGCUAGCUGUUGUGGUGGGUUUUCAGUAUGUGUUCUGGAUGUGUAGCUGCUGCUUGCGCUUGGUUGUUGUUCCGUGUGUGCGUGGGUGUGAUGCUAUCUGCUGGUUGUUGCUUACUGUUUGCUGCUUGGAUGAGGGUGAAUGAUGGGUG